GUGUUUAAAAGCUGUUUAAUCCCUCUGUCUGUCAGGAAGCUGUCCACUCUAAUCCAUUAACUGGAAGCAAUGCACUGUGACACUGAGAAGCUGUGGGCCAACAUCGAGGACGUGGUGAUCAAGACUCUGGCUGCUAGAGCUUCACUACAGACUCCCAGCUGGACAGAGAGGUAAAGGACUGGCUGCUUUAUGACACGGCGGAGCUCAUAAACCUGCAGACCUGCAACCGACGCAAAGCCGCCCGAGGACGAGAGACGCAGGAUCAGAGAACGGCUGCCGCAUGUCUGCUCUAAGGAGAGGUGUGUUGGCGACACAUCGGUGUGUUGCAUAGUGUUCUAUAAUCCGGGUCGAGGAGAGGAAGAGGAGCAUCUCAGGGGUCUACAGCAGAGGACCAACCUGCUCAAAGAGCUGGGCAUUGUGGACCAUGUAUACCAGCUCCUGGGGAAAGACAACACAAUGCCCCCUAGUGGGAAGGCAGAUUCAUGCCAAUUCAUAAGCAACAUGGCAGCCAAGUCAAUGCCUCACUGGGUUAACUGGGUAACCACAGCAACAGCUGCUUCAACUGGCCCUUUGAGGAGAUCCAUCCGUCACCCUGAGGCCCACUGGCCGCAGCAACCCCUCUCUCAGCUAUGUGAAGAACCUCCAGGCCUCUAUAUAAUCUCUGGAACGCCUCCCCUGAACCCCCGGCCAACCCCCUUCAGACCCGACCACUCGGACCGCUUUGUGCCGCUGACCCAGAACGCCAGGUAAGAGAUCAGCGGCUGUCAAACCUGUGGUUCAGCUGGCACCUGUGAGUGAAGUUGGCUCUCAUGACAAUUUGGGCAGAAAUAGUGCAACACCAGGAAACGCACGGUAGGUGGAAUAAAAUGUUACUUCACUAGCUGGUGACACCAUGGCAGAUGUCUCGCUGUCCACGGCCAUGACCAUGUGUCGAUGCAACUCUUUUACCCUGGCAACCCACCGCCUACAGCUGGUCUCCAGCCCGGUCUCUGUGCCGUCAGACUGGCUGUUGGAAAUGUACCGGGCCACAGACCAGUCCCUGGUCAACACAUGUGAUGUGGCAGAACACCAGACCAGGAAUCGUCUGAUAUGGAAAAAGGUAAUCGACCGGAAUCCCUCCAGGGAACCACUCAAGGAAAAACCUGCGGCUGUGGAAACCUGCCAGGCUGCUGGUCGUCCCAUUAACCAGCCAAACCAGCCGUCCUGAGACAUUGGUCCAGUCUCCAUAGGCUUUACUGGUCAUAUGUCAUUCCUGUGGCUUUCCCGUUCAAACCAAGAUGAUUUGGUUCAGAUGAGGAGGGGGUUGGACCUCUGUUACAUCUUCAGGAGUUAUUACCCACAAUGGUGCCAAUUCGACCAUGAGACACUACAAUUUUUUCUCUUGUUGUAAUUUUCCUCCAACUAACAUUUUAGAACAUCUAACCUCUAUAUGUUUCUGUUUGUGUUUUGUAUUAUGCUACUAGGUAGCCUACGUCAUUUCAACUUGAACUAGCAGGUGUGUAUGUUCAGGCUGGAUUGAAUCACUCAAGGUUAGGCACCACAACAUAUAUUUCCCAUUUGAGGAACUGGCGGGCUGGCUGGUUGGCAAUGAGGAUUAGUGGGAAUCCAGGGGAAUCCCCUAAUGUGUAGCCAGCUUUGGCUGCUUUCUUCAUCAUCUGAUGUUUAUAAGCAUUUUAGACUGCAACAGCUGGUAGCCAGAAGCAUAAUAGUUUGUCCUCUCUUUCUGUUUGGAAACCCAAGAUUAAAACAAAAGCAGAUUUA